rnacentral:rRNA from 1 species
UGCCAGCCGCCGCGGUAAUACGGAGGGUGCGAGCGUUGUUCGGAAUUAUUGGGCGUAAAGCGGGUGCAGGCGGCCGCGUAUGUCUGGUGUGAAAGCCCUGAGCUCAACUCAGGAAGUGCACUGGAAACUGCGUAGCUUGAAUCUCGGAGAGGGUGGUAGAAUUCCCAGUGUAGAGGUGAAAUUCGUAGAUAUUGGGAGGAAUACCGGUGGCGAAGGCGACCACCUGGACGAUGAUUGACGCUGAGACCCGAAAGCGUGGGGAGCAAACAGGAUUAGAUA